CCUACGGGCGGCAGCAGUGAGGAAUAUUGGUCAAUGGACGCAAGUCUGAACCAGCCAUGCCGCGUGCAGGAAGACGGCUCUAUGAGUUGUAAACUGCUUUUGUACGAGGGUAAACGCAGAUACGCGUAUCUGUCUGAAAGUAUCUUACGAAUAAGGAUCGGCUAACUCCGUGCCAGCAGCCGCGGUAAUACGGAGGAUUCAAGCGUUAUCCGGAUUUAUUGGGUUUAAAGGGUGCGUAGGCGGUCGGAUAAGUUAGAGGUGAAAUCCCGAGGCUCAACUUCGGAAUUGCCUCUGAUACUGGUAGGCUAGAGAGUAGUAGCGGUAGGCGGAAUGUAUGGUGUAGCGGUGAAAUGCUUAGAGAUCAUGCAGAACACCGAUUGCGAAGGCAGCUUACCAGGCUACUUCUGACGUUGAGGCACGAAAGCGUGGGGAGCAAACAGGAUUAGAUACCCGGGUAGUC
rnacentral:rRNA from 1 species